rnacentral:rRNA from 1 species
AGUGAACGCUGGCGGUAGGCCUAACACAUGCCAGUCGAACGGCAGCACAGUAAGAGCUUGCUCUUACGGGUGGCGAGUGGCGGACGGGUGAGGAAUACAUCGGAAUCUACUUUUUCGUGGGGGAUAACGUAGGGAAACUUACGCUAAUACCGCAUACGACCUACGGGUGAAAGCAGGGGAUCUUCGGACCUUGCGCGAUUGAAUGAGCCGAUGUCGGAUUAGCUAGUUGGCGGGGUAAAGGCCCACCAAGGCGACGAUCCGUAGCUGGUCUGGGAGGAUGAUCAGCCACACGGGAAGUGAGACACGGUCCAGACUCCUACGGGAGGCAACGGUGGGGAAUAUUGGACAAUGGGCGCAAGCCUGAUCCAGCCAUACCGCGUGGGUGAAGAAGGCCUUCGGGUUGUAAAGCCCUUUUGUUGGGAAAGAAAAGCAGCAGGUUAAUACCCCGCUGUUCUGACGGUACCCAAAGAAUAAGCACCGGCUAACUUCGUG